rnacentral:rRNA from 1 species
GAUCUGGCUCAGGAUGAACGCUAGCUACAGGCUUAACACAUGCAAGUCGAGGGGCAGCAGGGUCUUAGCUUGCUAAGACUGAUGGCGACCGGCGCACGGGUGAGUAACACGUAUCCAACCUGCCGUCUACUCUUGGACAGCCUUCUGAAAGGAAGAUUAAUACAAGAUGGCAUCAUGAGUCCGCAUGUUCACAUGAUUAAAGGUAUUCCGGUAGACGAUGGGGA